ensembl:lncRNA
UGUUGCAGCUUCUCUUCUGGUAAGGUGUUCCGCUAUGUUUUCAUUACAUGUACUGUAGUUGUUCUGUGUUUUAUUUCGCUUUCUUCUACAAAGGGGACCUACGUUAUAUACAUAUAUCCCCUUUUUCUUUCUUAGUAUGCAUUUUAAGGUUUAUUUGAGGUCACAGGCCUUUAGUAAACACACCUCUGCGUGUUUCUGUUCCUGUGGCCCACGAGCCCCUGAUGUGUAUCUGAAACCAUCAUGGCUUACCUUUUGCGAAUAUUUGAAACUUCACCAUUAUUAUCAAAGCUGACUUGUUACUACGAUAGAAUUAAGUCAUAUUUACUACUGGUUUGGUUUUUUUUUUUUUUUUAAUGCUUUGGCGAGAUCUCUCAAUGAUGAUAACUCACAGACCUGUACUGAAAUACUGUGAUUGCACUUUAUUUAUCUGAGGAGAGACCGACGUGAAUUUAUUACAUUUUUUUACGAUAAGAGUGUUCUGGAAGCUUCAGAUGCAAACACGUGUUUUAACUAGAGGUUUUUCUUUUGCAGCAAUGGCGACUGCGACGAGCAUGGCCUCAUGGGAAGUUUCCAUGCAGGCUGCUGGGAUGAGCAGGCGGAAAUCUAUUAAAUUUAAGGGCUCCUUCACGUGAUCUUGGAGGGCAUGGUGACCAUAGAUGUUGUAUUGAUCAUCCCACUUUGUCUUGGUGAUGAUGGUGUGGCUAUAAAGAUGUUCAUGUAGUGUUGGAACAAAAUGGCUUUUUCAGCAAGAACCUGCAACUCCCUAAGGACUGUUAUUUGUCCAAAACAAAGUGGGUCAAGUCCUUUGCUGGUAUUAGGUUGCAUACCUGAAAUACUCCGCAGGUAAGAAUAUGCAUUUCUCAUGACAAAUUUCAUUGAAAUGGUCCCUUUGUAGUUAACUUGCACUACUUGCUACUCUAUUCCAUCUGUAACCUAUGAUGAUUUUUGCAGUCUCGUUCGUCUGAAGUCCUGCUGAUUAAUUAAUAUUACUGAUGUUACAGAUUUGGCAUCUGUAUGUGUGUUAUCUCUGCAUUUGUGUAGGUCUCCCAUCCUAUUUUUUUUUUUUUUUUAACCUAUAGGUGGCACAUCUGAGAUGAGACAUUCACAGGUGAGAAUUCUGUUCCUAAUAUACAAAAUGACAAACCUAUUGCAGCUGGUCCUUUUAUGAUGUUACUUGCACAUGUCUUAUGCCCUGUGUCAAUACCAGAACCUGAAAAGGUGAACCCACUGGUGUUGCCUGGGUAACAAGGGGAUGACUUGUUGGGGUUACCAACAGUCUGAGAAGGACUAGCUUUAGUGUAGACAAGUUUCUUUACAUACGUUCCCUAAUCUUGUUUCUCUUGAUUCCUUGCAGGACUACAGUGGAUUCUUGAAGUCCUUCCCCCUUGAGCAUACUAUAACAGUAUGUAUUUUGUGUUUUCAACUUCAGAGACAUGUGAGCUAUCCUAGUAGGUGUGAUGAUGGAAUUACCGCCCCAGUCUGAUUAAUCUGACUGAAUGGUACCCUCUGACCUCAGUAACUGUUUAAACGAGGCGUUUUAGGAGGACGUGGAUGAGUCUUAACUUUUUAUAAAGAAUAUCUCUUUGGGUUUGAGACUUUAGUUCUUUGCAACUUUAGGGAUCUUAUCCUUUCACAAACAACUUGUAACUCAAAAGAGAAAGGAAAACUUAAUCGCAUCAUAUGACCCCUUUAGUAAAAAUUUACUACUGACAUUACAGCAUUUACAUAUGUGUAGCUCUCCCAUCUAAAUGCCUGGGAAAUAAGGGGAUGACUUGAGUACCAACAGUCUAAUAAGGAGUAGCAUUAGCAUACAUGAAGCAUGUUCAAUUAUUUGUUUUUGUUUCCUUACAGGACUGCAGUGAAUUUUCCCUCAGAGUUCUUUACCCCUUGAGCGUACUGAAGCUGGUAUGUAUUUUGUAUUUUCAAGUUGCGUUACAUGUGAAAUAGUAGGUGUGAUGACUGAGUUACCGCCCCAGUCUGAUUUAUCUGACUGAAUGGUACCCUCUGACCUCAGUGAUUUGUUUUGUUUGAAACUUACACAAUGUUGAUUGAAAAAGUAUGGAUAUGAGUUGAUUGCCCCAGGCUGAAAAGUAAAGACAGAUUGAUAUCCCCUCUGAUCCAUACUUCAUGUCUGUACUUUUUUUUUUUUUUUCUCCUCCCUUGUUCUUUAGGUGUUGCUACUGUCCAUCCAGGUUGUCCCAGUGUCACUUGAUUGCUGGUGUUCUGUUGACUUUUAAAGGUUUGUAUUUUGUAUCAGCUUUUGAAAGUUUAGUUUUACUUUUUAAUGAUGACAUUUAUCGCCCCAGUCUGAUGUGUUAUGACUGAUUGAUGAUUCUGAUAAAUCUAGAAAUAUUUAAAGGUGCUGAUUUAAGAGACUUUUACUGACACUCUUUAUCUCCCCCAGGUCACGUAAACUGCAUCAGAAGUUGAACUGGCUGACACACUGAUCUGUGUCCUUGUACAUCUGCUUAACUGGAGUGUUGGCUGAAUGGUGUUAUUGACUGACGAUAUAAAUGGAAUGUGUUUCCUUUGUAUUCUUUAUUCAAAAGCUGCUUGCAAAAUAAAUGGCUUUACUGAAUUUGCGGUUUCAAUUCCUGUUUUGUGUCCCUGAGUCUUCAACCUUUUGCAUUCGUUUGUAUCAGAACUUAAUUUCUCUAAAUGGAAAAGUGACACUUUGCAGUAAACUUUAGCUUGUAAUGCUUGAGACAUCAUGAACCAACAAAUAGCAUUUAAUUGUAGAAUGUUUGCUCAAACUUAUACAACUUGACUAUUCACAGCACUUAAUAUAAAAGUAGUGUUCAAUGUUAGGUUAAUGUGUUAAGGUAAGAUUUGAACUAAAGCAAAAAGUACUUAACAAAACGAGCUGAGGUCCAAAAAAUACCCCUUAA